GACGAACGCUGGCGGCGCGCCUAACACAUGCAAGUCGAACGAGCGAGAGAGAGCUUGCUUUCUCGAGCGAGUGGCGAACGGGUGAGUAACGCGUGAGGAACCUGCCUCAAAGAGGGGGACAACAGUUGGAAACGACUGCUAAUACCGCAUAAGCCCACGGCUCGGCAUCGAGCAGGGGGAAAAGGAGCAAUCCGCUUUGAGAUGGCCUCGCGUCCGAUUAGCUAGUUGGUGAGGUAACGGCCCACCAAGGCGACGAUCGGUAGCCGGACUGAGAGGUUGAACGGCCACAUUGGGACUGAGACACGGCCCAGACUCCUACGGGAGGGAGCAGUGGGGAAUAUUGCACAAUGGGGGAAACCCUGAUGCAGCGACGCCGCGUGGAGGAAGAAGGUCUUCGGAUUGUAAACUCCUGUUGUUGGGGAAGAUAAUGACGGUACCCAACAAGGAAGUGACGGCUAACUACGUG
rnacentral:rRNA from 1 species